AAAUGCAUUUUUACAAUAUUGGGAAGAGCAUAUUGGUCUUCCACACCCUCCACAUUGGUUAUCUGCAAAGGCUUCUCCAUUAACCUUCCAUCAGGCAGCAGUGUUUAUGAAAUUUAUGGAGGAAAAUGAAUUGGCUUCCCACAUGCAUUCAUUCUGUAUGCAAGCAAAUGUUGCUUGUUCAACAAAUGCACUAAUGAAGAACAGAGCAAAUGACACAACCCUACCACCAAUAGUCCCUUGGAAUGUUAACAAACUCAAAUAUGAAUAUCCAAAUGAAAUACCUCUAUCAGUUGCCAGCCAAGGGGGAUUGCCAUAUUUUCGAGAAUCAAUGGUGAAACAGGGAAGUUUCAUGCCUGUCCCUGAUCUAAGGGACCCAAUAUCAUAUAGAUCGUUCUUGCCAAGAUCUCUGGCAUUAAAAAUUCCAUUUUCCUUUGCUCGGAUCAUGGAAUUGAA